rnacentral:lncRNA from 1 species
GGCAGAGUGUCCCUAUGUUCAGACCUGGUCAUGAAAGAAAAAUAAACAAACAAGUAAAAUCAAUUCCCCGGCAACGGCGCCAAUUUUUGACAGGAGCGGUUGUCGAAGCCGGUCAAAAAUAACCUUCUUGGUUACCUACAAAUACAACUGUAGACAGUGGUGAAGGAUCGUAUCCACAGAGAAUUGAUUACCUAUUUAUUUAUCUUAAUCAAGACCAAUCAAACCAAUGGAAAGCACAAGUGAAGGCAGUAAUUGCAAAUAGAACAAAAGUAAAGUGCAAGGAAAGUAAAAAGGGG